UUUCCUACGGGAGGCAGCAGUGAGGAAUAUUGGUCAAUGGGCGCGAGCCUGAACCAGCCAAGUCGCGUGAGGGAUGACGGCCCUACGGGUUGUAAACCUCUUUUGCCGGGGAGCAACGGGCGCCACGUGUGGCGCCACUGAGAGUACCCGGAGAAAAAGCAUCGGCUAACUCCGUGCCAGCAGCCGCGGUAAUACGGAGGAUGCGAGUGUUAUCCGGAUUUAUUGGGUUUAAAGGGUGCGCAGGCGGAAGAUCAAGUCAGCGGUAAAAUUGAGAGGCUCAACCUCUUCGAGCCGUUGAAACUGGG
rnacentral:rRNA from 1 species